UGACGAAAGAGGAACCGGUAGUGGUUGGCUGUGGGACCCCGGCACCCGGCUCCGCACCUGAGGGGAAAUCCGCUGGAAAGCACUAGGGCCAAGCGGCUCCGGUAGGCGCGCGGCAGCAGAGGUGGUCCGCCGCCGGCAGCCGGGGCUUUGGUGGCCGCUGAAGGUUUGCGGCAGGAGGCCUUUGUGAAGUCAGUCGGCUCCAGGUCGCCCUCCGGAUGCGGUCCCCACACCGCCUGCGUCACCUGGGUUGAGGGGCUCAUUUGAAAUACAGACUUCGCUACCCACCCCAGCCUGCUGAAUCGGAAAUGCAGCGGUGAGCCAUAGGUGAUUAUUAUGCACCCUUAAAUUUAAGAAUUAGUCAUUCGGAGGUUUCUCUCAAUGGCGAACUUGAAAAUAAGUUCAGGAAACCAGACAAUUGGAGCGGACCGACAGCCCUGAUUCCAAUGGUAAGAGCAGUGCGCUGGGUGUGAUCUUUCUGCCAGCACCUUAAGGCCUCACUUAACCUCGGGACCUUAGUUGCAUCAUCUAUAGAAUGAAAUGAUUGCUCUCCGACCUACCUUCUCGUGGUGGUGAUGUGAUAAUAAAAAUUGAAUAGUGAGCAACCCAGUGGGCUAUGGAAAUGUGUGGAAGAUGGCAUUUCUAUUUCUCAGUGGGGCUCUUACCUAUUACUCAUCAACCUUGUAGGCAGAAUUGACUGAUGCAGCCUACACAGUAUUUAAUUACAUAAAUGGGACACCACCUAUGUGCCCAACAUGGGAUUUGAUAGGAAGGAUUUGAAGGGGUUAGAGACAGGGAGACCAAAUAGGAGUCUGCCCAGCCACCCAGCUUUCGGGUAAUGUGCGUCUGGUCUUCAGGGCCAACAAUAGAGAGAAUGUGAAAUUAAGUUGAUGAUGGAAAUGAAAGAAGGAGGAAUUGAAAGCUUCUCAACUAAGAAACCAGAAGACAAGCAACAAGAGAGCAUCUCAUGAAAUCACACAACAGGGUAACUGAGUGGGUAUUUCCUGUGAGCAGUUAUAAAGUUAGAUUGUGGACGGGUACGGUGGCUCAUGCCACUUUGGGAGGCCGAGGCGCGCCGAUCACCUGAGGUCGGGAGUUGGAGACCAGCCUGACCAACAUGGAGAAAC
rnacentral:lncRNA from 1 species